rnacentral:ncRNA from 1 species
GGUAAAUCGAUGAGUAAGAAUAGUAAGUUGAAGGAACUUCAUGACAGAGAGCCGGGCCAGGUGAGAGCCGGUAUGAAGGAUUCAGCUGAAUGGGCUUACGAGAGGCAGCCUGAACUUUAGUAGGGCUGCACGGAAUUCCACCGUUAAAAGGAUAGGGUAUAAAGAAAGACGGAUGCGACUCGCUUAGCUCGACAGGCAAAAAUGUGUUCCUGCAGAAAAACCUGAUUUCCGAAAGGAGACGGCUUAUGACCCCGAGGGGCUAAAAGCCGUAGCUGGAUAAUGCGAAAGGCAGAGUUCGCUUAAAACUCAAGUCGUCUUUCAUGUACCUGAAGAGAGGGAGCGAUCUAAUUGCUCCAAAAGAGGUGGCACCGCGGUCCGACGAUACCGUCCUCUAU